ACAGUGCAUGAUCACCUCCGCUUCUCAACAAUCUCACUGAGAAGAUUGAAAUCAUCGAGGCGAGUAUAGAGCGGUGAGUGGUUGUUCAGCGCCAUCUACCAGCCUCCCUCUCACUGCUGCCAGAAGAAGACGUUUGUGUGUGACAGUCUCUCUCUCCCUUUUGUUCGCUGCUCCCAGAGAGCAGUGGGAAUGCCAGUCAGGAUACUGGAAUGCUCCUCUUAUGGGAUGUGAGAAGGCAAGAAGACCCCCACCCCGCAACCGUCCCUGACGACUACAUCUGCAAGAAGUGCAGCUUCUAACAGACCAUGCCAAGGAGUUGGAGCUAGAAACGAUUGAACCCCAGAUCAUUCGAAAGGCUGAGGGGUUGAUAGACAGGAUGUACACAGAGGCUGGACACAGAUGCUGCCUGGCCUGCUGAGUUCCUCCCGUAUUUUGUCUGUGUUUCUUGGAUUUCUAGCAACUGCCGAUUUUCUCAUCUUUGGACCCCAUUCUCCUGCCUUCUUCCUGUAACCUUGACACCUUUACUGGGCAAGAACCUCAAAAAGUGAUCAUAUUGAAGAAUAAAUGCUUAGCGAGUGUUCCCUCUGAUGGAGGACUGUAACUUGGAAUGGGAUACUGCUGAAUUCUUCCAGCAUUUUGUGUGUGUUGCUUGGAUUUCCAGCAUCUGCAGAUUUUCUCUUGUUUGAAUGGGAUAUAAUGCUUGGAUAAGGAGUCACCAAUUUAAGAGGGAGUGAGGAUCUUUCAAAGGAUUAAUAAUCAUUGGAAUUCUCCAUGCUAUACUCAUGUUUCUUGUAUUCUAACAUUUGCUGACAGUAAGGGUUUGAGGUGUGAUCCUAUAAUUAAAUAGAGAAAAGCCUAUGCGCCCCUUUACUAACACAGAAUUAAAAUGACUCACAAUGUUAAAUAAAGCAACUUAUCCGAGAGCAAAUUCUGAGGAAAGGGCAACUCCCUUUACCUCUGUCAUCGCUUCCAUUCGAAACUUCCUCUUUAGGACUCACAAAGAAGCCAAUAGAUUGAUUCCUUUUU